rnacentral:rRNA from 1 species
AUUGAACGCUGGCGGCAUGCCUAACACAUGCAAGUCGAACGGUUUUGGAGCUUGCUCCAAGAUAGUGGCGGACGGGUGAGUAACGCGUAGGAAUCUGCCUUGUAGAGGGGGGACAACCCGGGGAAACUCGGGCUAAUACCGCAUAAUAAUCGAGAGAUGAAAGGGUGGGACCUUAGGGCCACUCGCUAUAAGAUGAGCCUGCGUUGGAUUAGCUAGUUGGUGGGGUAAAGCCUACCAAGGCGACGAUCCAUAACUGGUCUGAGAGGAUGACCAGUCACACUGGGACUGAGACACGGCCCAGACUCCUACGGGAGGCAGCAGUGGGGAAUAUUGGACAAUGGGGGCAACCCUGAUCCAGCAAUGCCGCGUGUGUGAAGAAGGCCUGCGGGUUGUAAAGCACUUUUAGCGAUGAGGAAGUUAUCAUGUCGAAUAGGCAAGGUAAUUGACGUUAGUCGCAGAAAAAAGCACCGGCUAACUCUGUGCCAGCAGCCGCGGUAAU